AACAAACCAAUUGUCAAAAAUCUCAGAAACUGUCAUAUGUUAGUUAAUAUGGUGGCUCGACUUUAAAAAAUACAAACGGUCUAGGUGAAAGAAUAAUUAUCCGUAUGGUCACGGAACUAUUUGGACGUCUUUUGGACUCAUUUGACAAGACUAUUUGAUAUUCUUGCAUUCACCGAGCGGCGUGCCAGCAAGGACGGCGGCGGCGGCGGCUCACGUGCGCCUGACGGGACGGGCCCCGGAUGUGGCUCGCGACGCUCGAGGUGAAGGAGAGAGAUACGCCGGGCCCCGCAGUCACACGGACGCAGCUCGCCAGAUUGAGCUCAGAUUACGCCUGCGACCCGCUGUUCAGCAAGAGGAGAUCACACACGCCGGUGUAUCCGCCGGAGCGACGCCCGUCACAUGCGUGGCGGCGUGCAGAAAUAAUGUUUCUGUCCUUAGAACAUGCCGGAAGGACAAGAAUUAGUGCUGGGGGAUCUGAACAACACGAUUGCAGUCCUGAUUUUUGUACACUCUGCGCUUAUUGUUACAUCUGGAUGAUCUGGUAUGCAUGUCAAUAAAAGGCAAAAAACUGUUUUUUCCA